CUAUGGCCAUACCACCCUGAAUGGAAGCUAAGCAGGGUUGGGCUUGGUAAGUCCUUCAGUGGGAGACUGUUCAGGUCAUUUCCUAAACCGGGUGGUGAAAUGGU
rnacentral:rRNA from 1 species